UCUUGAUGAGGGUCUGAUGAUGAGUUAAUGAGCAGAAGUGAAAGUGAAUCUGUUCCAGUUCAGAGAGUUAAACCAAUCAAACAGUGUUCAGAGUUUCUGCAGCUCAGAAUAGAGCAGAUCAAACCACAAGAGCUUCAUUUGACAUUAACGCUCAGUGCAGCUGUGUUCACCACUACAACACAUUACUGUUCAACUCUAUUAGCUGAGCGCAGUGUGUGUGUGUGGGUGUGUGUGAGUGUGUGUGUGUGUGUGUGUGUGUGUGUGUGUGUGUGUGUGUGUGUGUGUGUGUGUGUGUGUGUUUGCAUAUUGAGUGCUGUGAGUGUUUAUAGUGCUGUGAGUUGAACACUUCAUCACUGACACACACAUCAAUCUUCAUCAUCAUGACCUUCAUCAUCGUCUUCAUCUGGACUCUUUCAUACAGCUUUAUCCUGCGAGGCUCUAAAGCAGCUGAGAUCACAGUGACUCAGACUCCUUCUGUGAAAACAGUAAGACCUGGUGAAAAUAUUCAGAUGUAUUGCAAACUCAGUAAACAUUCAACCUGCGGCCCACCGUGUGUCUACUGGUACUUACAGAAACCAGGAGAAGUUCACAAACUCCUUAUAUAUGAUGCAAGCAGCCUUGCGUCAGGAACCCUAUCUAGAUUCAGUGGCAGUGGAUCUCAUAGUGAUUAUACCUUGAGCAUCAGUGGAGUCCAGACUGAAGAUGCUGGACAUUAUUACUGUCAGAGUUACUACUGGAUGAACAGUAAAAAUGUGUUCACACAGUGAUAAAGAGUGGUACAACAACCUCCGUCAGUCAGUCAGAGUCACAGAGACUGAACUGAUCCUGGAGCAGCUCAAACACACACACUACACACAGAUGAACACUGAGU